rnacentral:rRNA from 1 species
GUGUCAGCAGCCGCGGUAAUACGGAGGGAGCGAACGUUGUUCGGAUUUACUGGGCGUAAAGGGCGUGUAGGCGGUUUGGCAAGUCAGGGGUGAAAUGCCUCGGCUCAACCGGGGACCUGCCUUUGAAACUGCCAGACUUGAGGCCGUGAGAGGAGACUGGAAUUCCCAGUGUAGCGGUGAAAUGCAUAGAUAUUGGGAAGAACACCAGUGGCGAAGGCGAGUCUCUGGCACGGUUCUGACGCUGAUGCGCGAAAGCUAGGGGAGCAAACGGGAUUAGAAACCCCUGUAGUCC